rnacentral:misc_RNA from 1 species
AGUCCUGACAAUUAUGAGGAGAGAACUGUGGUUAACGGGCAGAGGUUGCUGAAAUAUGGAUUUACGAAAGUGGGCUAUAUUUAGCCUACUUGAGCCACGUUUUGUUUCAAAAAUCAAGAUUGCCUGUGUUUUUGGGAACAGUGGAAAUGAAGCUCUAAUAGUUACAGAAGAUGACAAUGUUUAUGCACUGGGCUCCAAUUCUGCAGGAUGCUUGGGACUAGAAUGUCAUGAUAGCACACUUUUUCCAAAAAAAGUAAAGGCACUUUGUCAUAAGCGUGUGGAAGGAUUUGCAUAUGGGAGUGGCCCCCAUGUUUUAGCAUAUACUGCAGAUGGAUUGGUUUUCUCUUGGGGUCACAAUGGAUAUUGUGAAGUGGGAGAUGGAACUUCCUGUCAGAGACUGAAACCAACAGUGAUUGAUAUGGCUCUUGAAGGCAAGCAUGUAGUUGCAGUUGCUGCUGGGAGCCAUCAUUCGCUUACUUUGACCGAUGAUGGUGAGAUUUAUGCAUGGGGACAUAACAACUGUGGUCAGGUUGGUUCAGCAUUGAGCUCCAACCAGAGUGCUCCAAGAAAAGUGAACAGUGUAAUUGGUGGGAAGAAAUGCGUAUCCAUUGCUUGUGGCCAGACAUCAUCCAUGGCUGUAACAGAAAAUGGCGAAGUUUAUGCCUGGGGCUAUAAUGGUGUUGGUCAGCUAGGCAUUGGAAAUACCUCAAACCAGCAGACACCAGUGAGAGUGAAAGGUAUUCUUUGCUCUGUUGUGAUCACAAAAGUGGAAUGUGGUUAUUCGCAUACAUUAGCAUUGUCAGAUAUGGGACAACUGUUUGCGUGGGGUAGCAAUGGGUAUGGUCAACUGGGCACUGGAACAAAAUCAAACUGCAAUUCACCAGUACAGAUUGCACAGGAUAUUGGCAGGAUUGUUGAUAUUGCGGCAUCGCACUAUUCACAAAUUUCUGCUGCCAUGACGCAGAAUUCAACUGUGUAUAUGUGGGGUUAUUGUCGAGGACAAAUUAUCACUCUACCAACAAAAACACCAUUUUCUUCCUUGCAUGAAGUUUUUGCCUGUUUCUCAACACCGGCUGUCAUGUGGAAGCCACUGGAAGUGAAACAACAUGAAGGGAAUACAGUGGCAGAAAGUUUAAGAGCUGCCUUUGAUGAUCCAAACACUAGUGACCUGACAAUCAAUGUUCAAGGUAGGCCAAUUUAUGUCCACAAGACAGUGUUGAAGAUUCGGUGCGAACAUUUCAGGGCUAUGUUUGAACACAAUUGGCAGGAAAGUACAAGAAGUGAACUCAAUAUGGAGUACUAUACAUAUCCUGUAUACAGAGCAUUUCUUGAAUACCUUUACACAGAUCAUGUCCUGUUACCACCAGAAAAUGCUUUGGAGUUGUUGGUACUUGCAACAGAAUAUUGUGAAGCACAGUUGAAAAGAUUAUGUGAGCAGAUAAUAGAACAUGGAAUAACAGUAGAAAAUGCUGCAUCACUCUAUGCUGCUGCUAUUCAGUACCAAGCAAAGGUACAGACAGAGCAAUUGGAAAGAAGGCAUUUGAACGGAAUCCCCGGGAAACGAGGAAGAGAGGCAGGCCCAGACGAAUGGGGAGGAGGACAGUGUACGGGGAAGCAAGGAGUGUUGGCAAAACGUGGUCAGAAUUGAUGGAAAUGACCAAAGACAGGUAGAUACUGAGUUCUUCUGCAGGCUCUGUUCUCCAGAGGGGCCAAAGAAAUUGAGUCAAGAACUUGAGGAGUUCUGCUUCAAGUUUUGUCUGAAUCACAUGACAGCUGUAGUUCAGACAGAUGAUUUCAGUAAACUUGAAGGUGACACCCUAAAAGAUUUUAUACGUAGAGCUGCUC